rnacentral:rRNA from 1 species
CAGUCGCCGCGGUAAUACGGAGGGUGCAAGCGUUAAUCGGAAUUACUGGGCGUAAAGCGUGCGUAGGCGGUUCGUUAAGUCUGCUGUGAAAGCCCCGGGCUCAACCUGGGAAUGGCAGUGGAUACUGGCGAGCUAGAGUGUGUCAGAGGAUGGUGGAAUUCCCGGUGUAGCGGUGAAAUGCGUAGAGAUCGGGAGGAACAUCAGUGGCGAAGGCGGCCAUCUGGGACAACACUGACGCUGAGGCACGAAAGCGUGGGGAGCAAACAGGAUUAGAUACCCCAGUAGUCCCUGUCUCUUAUAC